rnacentral:sRNA from 1 species
UUGAUAGCAACGGAGACUGAAAUCCUCAAUUUAUUCACAGAACAGGUAUGCAGUAGCCAGUGGAAGCUUGUACACACUUCCCCAGGGCUUUGGAAGGACCAGUCUAGAGUUGAGAGUGUGGUUCAGCCUCCAUGUCCAUUCUCAGUCUUAAGACUUG